CUUGUAGGUGGCCAACUAAGUCAGACGUGAAAUCCCUCGGCUUAACCGGGGAACUGCGUCUGAUACUGGAUGGCUAGAGUCUGGGAGAGGGAUGCGGAAUUCCAGGUGUAGCGGUGAAAUGCGUAGAUAUCUGGAGGAACACCGGUGGCGAAGGCGGCAUCCUGGACCAACACUGACACUGAAAAGCGAAAGCCAGGGGAGCAAACG
rnacentral:rRNA from 1 species